rnacentral:tRNA from 1 species
GGGCCGCUGAGCUGCGGUUUUGUGGGCCGCCGGGGACUCGAACCCCGAACCUAUGGAUUAAAAGUCCACAGCUCUGCCAUUGAGCUAGCGGCCCGC